CCUUAGUAACGGCGAGUGAAGCGGGAAUAGCUCAAAUUUGAAAGCUGGCAGCAAUGUCCGCGUUGUAAUCUCGAGAAGUGUUUUCCGUGCUGGACCAUAGAUAUGUUCCUUGGAAUAGGAUGUCAAAGAGGGUGAGAAUCCCGUACAUGCUAUGGACGCCCAGUGCUUUGUGAUACACUUUCGAAGAGUCGAGUUGUUUGGGAAUGCAGCUCAAAAUGGGUGGUAAAUUCCAUCUAAAGCUAAAUAUUGGGGAGAGACCGAUAGCAAACAAGUACCGUGAGGGAAAGAUGAAAAGCACUUUGGAAAGAGAGUUAAACAGUACGUGAAAUUGUCAAAAGGGAAGCGCUUCAAGUCAGAUAUGGCUUUGAAUGUUCAGCCUUUAGGUGUAUUCAUUUUUUGUCAGGCCAGCAUCGAUUUUGAACGUCGGAUAAGGGUAGAAGGAAUGUAGCAUACUUUCGGGUAUGUGUUAUAGCCUUUUACUGGAUACGACGAUCGGGAUCGAGGUUCGCAGCACACCCUUUUUUGGGCAGGUCUUCGGACACUUUUGUGCUUAGGAUGCUGGCGUAAUGGCUUGAAGCGACCCGUCUUGA
rnacentral:rRNA from 1 species